rnacentral:rRNA from 1 species
AUUGAACGCUGGCGGCAUGCCUUACACAUGCAAGUCGAACGGUAACAGGUCUUCGGAUGCUGACGAGUGGCGAACGGGUGAGUAAUACAUCGGAACGUGCCCGAUCGUGGGGGAUAACGAAGCGAAAGCUUUGCUAAUACCGCAUACGAUCUACGGAUGAAAGCAGGGGACCGCAAGGCCUUGCGCGAACGGAGCGGCCGAUGGCAGAUUAGGUAGUUGGUGGGAUAAAAGCUUACCAAGCCGACGAUCUGUAGCUGGUCUGAGAGGACGACCAGCCACACUGGGACUGGGACACGGCCCAGACUCCUACGGGAGGCAGCAGUGGGGAAUUUUGGACAAUGGGCGAAAGCCUGAUCCAGUCAUGCCGCGUGCAGGAUGAAGGCCUUCGGGUUGUAAACUGCUUUUGUACGGAACGAAAAGACUCUGGUUAAUACCUGGGGUCCAUGACGGUACCGUAAGAAUAAGCACCGGCCAACUACGUG